ensembl:lncRNA
GCCUCAGUGGGCCCCGCCCACAAGCAACCAACUAUCAGUGAGACACCGGGUUAGUUGUCCUGCUCAGCUAUUGGUCAGCACCGCAGUGGGCUCUGCCCACAAGGAACUGUCAAUGAGGGGCCAUUAAGGAAGUGAUUGAGCCAAGAGUCAGUGGUGUAGUGGUCAUCAGGUGGAGAGUAAGGAGCUGUCAGAGCUGGAGUCUCUUACAAGUCACCUGAAGAUGAAUGCUGAGGGAAGGUGCUCACCGGCUUCAGAAGAGGGAGGCGCCUGGGCUCUGCAGCAGGAAGGUCGGCGCUCACCCUCGGGGGACUCGCCUCUUCUGUCUCCAUAGCUUGUGAAGGGGGCCUGCAGCCCCAUUGUGUGACGUUGUUUUAGACGACCUGCUGUUACCUGCAGAAGAACAACCAGAAACUGUCCCGAAAUGUCUCGAGUAGCUGUCAGCAUCCUGGGCCUUCUCCGUGUCCACAUCCUCCCGCUCAAUGGCUCUCGCCUUGGUGCACCGUCUCCGGGGUGAAACCCUUCACUCUUCCUCCGAGCUCCUCGCGUUCUGCAGUUUGGUCACAGAGUCGAAGUUCCCACCCUCAGUGGGCAACUUUGCUCGUGCUUCUGGUGUCAUUUCCAAAAAAUCAUUGUCAAGACAGAUGUCAAGGAGCUUUUUCUACAAGGAAUAUUUUAAGAGACGCUGGAGGGGUCGAGGGCGCUGUCCGGUUUCCCCACUAGGGGGCGGGCUUGGUCACUAGUUGAUUGCAGUGUUUUUCCCACUUGUGCACACACAAGCUCAGACUCCUUCCCAGCAAACCAUUCUAGUCCUUUGCUACCAAUUCAUGGGAGUUGAUGUUCAAGACGAAAUGUUCUGCUCAUCUUGACUUAGCCAUAAUAUACAUUCUAUUGAAGCCAGUUCUCUUACAAUGCCUCUGAUGGAUGAUUCAAGACUUCCCACAUUUGCCUCCAACUUUUCUAACUCUAAACAAUGACAUGCCAUCAAAUGGAAUGCUUUCUGGUGCUCAAUAAAGCCUUCACUGUUCUUGUA